rnacentral:tRNA from 1 species
GCCACGGUAGUGCGAUGGAUCAGCACGGCACAACGGAUAUCUGUAAAUGCGGGUUCGAAUCCCGCCUGAGAUU